rnacentral:rRNA from 1 species
UACAGAGGUCCCAAGCGUUGUUCGGAUUCACUGGGCGUAAAGGGUGCGUAGGUGGUUGGGUAAGUCUGAUGUGAAAUCUCCGAGCUUAACUCGGAAAUGGCAUUGGAUACUAUUCGGCUAGAGGGUUUGAGGGGGGACUGGAAUACUUGGUGUAGCAGUGAAAUGCGUAGAUAUCAAGUGGAACACCAGUGGCGAAGGCGAGUCCCUGGAAAACUCCUGACGCUGAGGCACGAAAGCUAGGGGAGCAAACAGG